UAUGGUCAACGUGAUUGACGACACAAAUCUAGACCAUUUAACCAGUUUUUUUAGUCUUUGAAGGUCACAGCUGUUAAAACUGAAGAUCUUGUUUGCUUGAGAGCAAUGUCAGGUACAUUAUGGUGCUUUUAUUGCUUAAAGGAUUAUGUUAACAGCAACUGGUAUGACCUGAAAGGGAGAGCAAAAGCUUUUAAAGUUGUCUAAUUAUCAUGAACCUGACCCGGGGUGGUUUUCAGUUGAACCCAUGAUUGGUUUAAACGAAUGACAAUUAAAGAAACAACAACAACUGCGCUGAUUGCUAAGAUUGUCUCAAUAUGAAGCCAACCUUUUCCCCAACAAAACCUGGCUUUGUUUAAUCACCUUCAUCUUGGUAAAAUUGUUCACUUUUAAACAAAUCUUGAACCAGUCAACAACAUUAACGUGUAAAAAUUUCCUCGAAUCUCUUCGUUUAGUUUUUGUUAUUCAAAUUUAGUCAACUUUAAACAUCGACCAAAAUGAAAUUCAACCUUUUCGUAAUUUGUACCAUUUUCUUAGCAAUAACCAUCAGCUAUACACUCGCAGCUCCUCAAUGGCUCGGACUCAACAUUCCAGGAAUCAUCAAUCUUAAUCGUGACCAAGGGUAUGAAGGUUCUGGUUUGGGAAUCGAUGUAUUGGGUGGCUUGGUUCAAGUCGGUGUAGCGAGGAAUCGCCUUGCUCCAGGCGGCGGUGUUAGAGUUCAUGUUGGAUAACCAUCGACCAUUUGAUUGGAAAUUUGAAAUUUCAUUUUCUUCAUUAAUUUUUAAAUAGACUCAUAAUUGACGUGUUUUAUUGUUAAUUUCAUCUCCACAAUUCACCUUCAUAGAAGAGUUUAAAGCCUUGAAUUUGGUUUCUUCGUUUGCUCAUUAAUUUAAAAUUAUGAGUAGACUCAAGAACAAUCAAAUUUAUAUUAAUUUGCAUUCUCUCCUGAAUGUAGUUCAGUAAAUAUUUUGAAUUGUCUGUCCUUGUCACUAUUUGAAUAUAAUAGUUUACUCAGUUGGACAACAAUUGAUUAUUUUUUUACAUCUAAUUUCUAAUUGUACAUCUGACAAAAAUGAAGGUGAAUUUGGUGAGAUGGCAUGGAACAAAAACUGUAAGCUAUUAAGAAAUCACUAUAAACUUAUUUAAUUAUGGGUUUUAAAUAAAUUUUGAUAAAAAUAUAAAAUUACGAUUGAAUUAUUGUACAAGAUAUCACAAAUUUAAAUAAACUUGAAAUCACAGAUA